UAAGUUCUCGUUGGGUUUACAAUCGGGGUUAAAACAUUAUUAUUAGCUAAUGUUCUUGAUUUUUUUUAUUCAAGGUCUGAAACCACAGCAAAUGUUUUGCCCUUUGACAAGUUUUCAUAUCAAAAUACAUGUUAUUCUACACCUUUUUUUGGAUUUGGGAAGACCUUCAGCAGUUAAGAAUAUAAAACACAUAUUCAUUGUAUUAAAACAAAUCACUAUAAACAUCUGACCUAAAGAAGUAUAUCAUAAUUGCCUUUGCUUCAAACACACUUGGACAAAAACACACGUGUAAAAUGUAAUUCUGCCCGUCUGUGACCGCAGCUGUUCGGUUUUUAUAAACCUCUGUGGGCGUGGCACCCUCUCCAUUGAACUCCCACCUAUUGACUUUUGUGUUGUCUUUCACCGCCAGGACCUGUGCCUGGGGUGAAGAAGCAGAGCAAUGCUGACAGAGCCACGCCUGAGCAACAACACAAGCUGCGGCGCAAAACUGUGUUGCUGGAUCCAAGCAGCCUUCUAUGAAGGGGACUCAAGGACUGAGAGGGGACUCGAGGACUACUCCGUACACAUCUCUGGACCUGGUUUGUGACGGUGUUGAUCCAUGUGGAAGGGACACAGACACCCCAAGAGGCCCCUGUUUCACCUUUAAAUGAUCUGGACCUGUGCCUGAACCAGAACCACAUGGACCCAAGACCAGAGUCAUCAGAGGCAGUGCAGCUCAGGAUUCUUUCAGGAGCCUUCAAUCCUUCAUCUUCAUCUAAUAAAAUAGAGUCUUCAACACCCAGAAGACUUCAUCUCUACACUGCGGCUGCAACAGCAGCAAUCAGUCCUGACGCAGGCACAUGUUCUUAACCCGAACCUUCACAAACACUUGAUGCUCAGCCGUCCUGGUAGGGGAUCCCUCUAAGACUUGGCCUACCUAAAGGUUUCUCCCUUUUUCCUUAACCCUUGGAUGCAUGAACAACCAAUACCUACACUCUUCCAUGAGUGGGGUCAAAAAUGACCCCAAUUAGAAUCAAUGUGUUUUUGCAAUGAAUUUAAAAAAUGUCUUUAAUUUUGGUUAAAGAUGAUUAUAUUUAUUAUAUUUGGGUCAACAAAAGACUGAUUUUACAUUUAACAUGCUUAUUUAUAACUUUUUAUAAAAAAUAUUCACAAGAAAUAACAUCAAAAAUCUUCAAAAAUUAUUGUUAGUAUGUCCAUCUGUCUGGAGGACAAAAAAGAGAAUGAACAUACAUAAGACCAGAACACUGUCCACUCACAUGUGCCCACACAAACGUCUUUUCUCUAUUCACUGUGUGCAGUUGUCACAAACUAUUUGCUUUUGGCUGUGACCAUUGCACACUGGGGUACUGCAUUUCCAACAGCAAUUGGUGGCUUUGCGAUCUUUGUUUCUUGGACACAUCUGGCACCUCUUUCUCUUCUGUUGGCCCUCUGUGCUUCUCUCCUGUUGCUGGUUUGCAGCUUUUGUCACUUCACACCUUCCCAUUGCUUCAGUGAUGUAGGUUGGUAGGUUCGGGGUACCUUCCAGUCGACUUUUCAUAUGAGGAGUCACAAGCUCCUUUGAGAGCUCUGUGAGGAAAUGUCGCCGUGCGUUGGUGAUACCUGUGGAAAUUUCAGGGUGCUGAGCCCUGAAAAAUGAGUAGGCGUUUAGAGUGGCUAUAUCAAUCAUGUUGUACCACAGCACCAUGGGCCACCUCUGUGUCUGGCGCUUGCAGGUGUAGUAGCCAACCAUCUGGUCAACGGUAUCUACACCUCCUUUGGUCUGGUUGUAGAAGAGGAUUAUUUCUGUUUUUUUCUUUUGGCUGUUUUCAUCCACCAUCUUGCUGUGGCGCAUUGUGCUGAGAAGCAGAACAGCCUUUCCCUUUUUUCUGAUAUAACUGAUCAUGGUCAUGCUGCCAUUAAACCCAAAUUCAGUGCUGUGGACCUCCCUCGACUUGGAAGCCUUCAUCACUGGAGGGAUGUCUGGCUUGUUCUGUCGCAACGUUCCCACAAUAGUCAGACCCUUCUCCAGGAGAUGCUCUGCAAGAGGCACACUGGUGAAGAAGUUGUCUGUGGUGAUGUUGAGACCUGUGUGUCUGAAUCCACUGCACAACUGACGGACAGUGUUUUCCCCUAGAUUCUUCUGGACUUCUUCCCCUGGUUGUCUCCCUGUGUACACAAUUCCAUCAAUUGCAUAAGGGGUGCGUGCAUCACAAACCCAGAAUAUCUUUAUGCCGUACUUGGCAGGCUUGCUUGGCAUAUACUGCAAAAACUUGGUCCUCCCUCAAAAUGGUACAAGUUGUUCGUCCACUGUGACACAAUCACUGGGGAUGAAUUUCUGCCUGCAGUUGACCAGGAACAGGUCCCAUAUGUGGCGGAAGGCUGUCAUGUGGUCUGUUUCCAGUCGGGAGGCUCUGGUCCUCUUGUCAUCAAAGCGCAGCAAACGGCGAAUAUCUUCGAAACGUCCAAUUGACAUUGUGGCCUUGUACAUUGGGUUGUGUAGAGGACUCCCAAAGAGCACACGGAUUGGUACAUCCCAGUUUUUCUCACUUCCUGCAAGAAUGGUCAAUCCAAUGAAGGCCAUGAGCUCCUCUUUGCUUAGAUUUUUCCACUCUUUUCCUCUGUUUGUUGCGACUCUUCUUCCCUCCAUGUUUGUGCAUCUCAACACCUCUUCUAAUAUACUAUCAGUGGUAAACAGCUUCCAUGCAUCUAUUGGAGAGACGGUGCUAAACCCAGGUGCAGGCCCUGAUCGACUUCUCAGUAAAUUGUGGCUUGGUGUUUUAGCCUGGGUGGGAGGUAACUCUGCCCAGUAAGAGCCCUUGCGGCUCAUUCUGUUGGACACAAUAUCCAUUUCUUCGGAGGAGGACUCAGAGGACUCCUCCGUGUCUGACUGAUCUUGUUCGGCAGGAGCAGGUUGGUUCCCAGACGGCCUGACAUGUCCAGGUGGACAAUAAUCUGGAUCCUCUACAUCUGAGAUGUCAGAUCCCGAGUCAAUCCCACCGAUGGGCUCUUCAUCCCAUCCGUUCAGGAUCAUAUCUCGAGCAACGUCUUCGGGUAUCCUAGCUGGCCUCCAAGUAGCCAUGAUAGUCUAGAUGAGAAAACAUAAAACAGACAAUGUUUGAAUGACACACAAAACUAUAAAUCAAUAUGUAGCUAUCUAAGUAAAUGUCUGUGCAUUUAUAUGUAAGUAAAGGCACAGACAUGCAUGUGUACACACACACACACACACACACACACACACACACACACACACACACACACACACACACACACACACACACACACCAAUAUUCAAUAAUCAUAUAAUAGGUUAUCUAACAGGUUAGCUUUUAUUAGAAGGAAUUAUGAAUACAGUGAGUCUCUACACAACAAAUGCAGUAAUAUCAGCUGGCUUACUAAACUAGUGUAAUGUUAGCUAGCUUAGUAAGCUAGCUAAUACUAACAUUAUUUUGUAGUUAGCUAACUAGUGUCUACUUUCUUGACCAACAUGAUACUCUAUCACAGAAAAGUCAUGGAGUUGAUAAAUGAAGAUAAUACUUACAUGUAUGCUGCUGUGUCAAACUGACCUCCUGGUGGUGAGACUGCAGGCAUCAGAUGUGUAAGUGGGACAGAAAAUGUAUCCUGACAGUCACAGUUGGUAAGAAUCAAAGGUUCCCAAAGCAAACCCUUGAGAUUCUGUAGGAAAUGCUUGGUGUCAUUUUUGACCCCGCUUAUGAAAAACUGGGGUAGUGACAAAAAAACUGCAAUUUCUUAAAAUGAAUAAAAACAUUUAAAAAAAUUCAAAUGGCCUCAAGUCACAAGCAUGUUUUAUGAGGAAUACCUGGAAUAUGGAAGUGUAAAAACCUUUAAUUUCAGAGAUUUUGAAGAAUAACAACCCUCGGGGUCAUUUUUUACCCCACUUAUGCAUCUAAGGGUUAAUACGAUUUUUCUCUGAGUUUUUCCUGAUAUACUUAGAGGGUCGAAGGCAGAGUGGAUAUGAAACGUUUCUAUAUAUGGACACUUAAUGGGGCAGACAUAUAAAUGGCAGUUGUUGCUUCUUUUGAGCAUUUAACCGUACUAUUAUUUCAUGACAUUUAGAGUGAGAUUUUAAUAGUUCAAUUAAAAUAUACAUAUGUGACGUGCAUGAAAUGCAUAGUAAAACUGUUUGUUUUAUGCUUGCUUUUGUCUUGUUCUGGUUUGACUGCUAUUAUUUUAUUAAUUUGAAAA